rnacentral:rRNA from 1 species
GACGUAGGAUCCGAGCGUUGUCCGGAGUUACUGGGCGUAAAGCGUGCGCAGGCGGUGAUGUAAGACAGGUGUGAAAUCCCCGGGCUUAACCUGGGAACUGCAUUUGUGACUGCAUCGCUGGAGUGCGGCAGAGGGGGAUGGAAUUCCGCGUGUAGCAGUGAAAUGCGUAGAUAUCUGGAGGAACACCGGUGGCGAAGGCGGCAUCCUGGACCGGCAUUGGCGCUGAGGCGCGAAAGCUAGGGGAGCAAACGGG